rnacentral:rRNA from 1 species
GAUCCUGGCUCAGGAUGAACGCUGGCGGCGUGCUUAACACAUGCAAGUCGAACGUGAAGCCCGGUACUAGUAUUGGGUGGAAAGCGGCGAACGGGUGAGUACACGUUGGUGACCUGCCCUGAGGAGGGGAAUAACCGUGGGAAACCACGGCUAAUACCCCGGAUGUCUAAGCUGUUAGAGGGCUUAGACUAAAGCCCCUGCAAGGGGUGCGCCUCGGGAGGGGCCUGCGGGCUAUCAGCUUGUUGGUGGGGUAAUGGCUUACCAAGGCGAAGACGGCUAGGGGGCGUGAGAGCGCGACCCCCCACAAUGGAACUGAGACACGGUCCAUACUCCUACGGGAGGCAGCAGUGAGGAAUAUUGCGCAAUGGGGGCAACCCUGACGCAGCAACGCCGCGUGGACGAUGAAGGCCUUCGGGUUGUAAAGUCCUUUUCUGAAGGAAGAUAGUGACGGUACUUCAGGAAUAAGUCCCGGCUAACUACGUGCCAGCAGCCGCGGUAAAACGUAGGGGGCGAGCGUUAUCCGGAUUUACUGGGCGUAAAGCGCACGUAGGCGGCAUCGUAAGUUGGACGUGAAAGCUCCCGGCUCAACUGGGAGAGGUCGUUCAAAACUGUGGUGCUUGAGGUUGAUAGAGGAGAGUGGAAUUUCCGGUGUAGUGGUGGAAUGCGUAGAUAUCGGGAGGAACACCAGUGGCGAAGACGGUGCACUGGGCCUGACCUGACGCUGAGACACGAAAGCGUGGGGAGCGAACGGGAUUAGAUACCCCGGUAGUCCACGCCGUAAACGAUGUCUACUAGGUUGUGGCGGUUCUGACGCCGGCACAGCCGAAGCAAAAGUGUUAAGUAGGCCGCCUGGGGAGUACGGUCGCAAGGCUAAAACUCAAAGGAAUUGACGGGGGCUCACACAAGCGGUGGAGCAUGUGGAUUAAUUCGAAGCAACGCGCAGAACCUUACCUGGGUUUGACAUGCUUGGAUGCCGCCCUGGAAACAGGGUUGGCUGCCUUCGGGUGAAACUUGCACAGGUGCUGCAUGGCUGUCGUCAGCUCGUGUCGUGAGAUGUCGGGUUAAGUCCUUUAACGAGCGAAACCCUUACCGUUAGUUGCCAGCGGGUCAGGCCGGGGACUCUAACGGGACUGCCGGUGUUAAACCGGAGGAAGGUGGGGAUGACGUCAAGUCAUCAUGGCCUUUAUGCCCAGGGCCUCACACGUGCUACAAUGGUCGGGACAGAGCGACGCGAGACCGUGAGGUGGAACCAAUCGCAAAAACCCGGCCCCAGUUCGGAUUGCAGGCUGGCAACUCGCCUGCAUGAAGGUGGAAUCGCUAGUAAUCGCGUAUCAGCUAUGACGCGGUGAAUGUGUUCCUGAGCCUUGUACACACCGCCCGUCAAGUGAUGGGAGUUGGGAGUACCCGAAGUCGGGUUGCUAACCCUUCGGGGAGGCGCCUGCCGACGGUAAGCCCGAUGACUGGCACUAAGUCGU